rnacentral:siRNA from 1 species
UGCAACCCGAUCUUAAAAGCCUA